UACGUAGGUGGCGAGCGUUGUCCGGAAUUACUGGGUGUAAAGCGCGUGUAGGCGGGAGGCCAAGUCUGUGGUGAAAUCGCUCGGCUUAACUGGGCGGGGUCCAUGGAAACUGGUCACCUGGAGGUCGGUAGAGGCAAGUGGAAUUCCCGGUGUAGUGGUGAAAUGCGUAGAGAUCGGGAGGAACACCAGUGGCGAAGGCGACUACCUGGCCUGUUCUUGACGCUGAGGCGCGAAAGCUAGGGGAGCAAACGGGG
rnacentral:rRNA from 1 species